rnacentral:lncRNA from 1 species
GGGAAUCUUCUCGGAUCCUCAGGAAUCUUCGGGUCCUAUGUGUUCUAGGAGAGAUGCUGAUGAAUCAUCUGUGGGAACGAGAGCCUAUGAGUCACUGGGCACAGGAGGUACCCGGACACAACAUGGAAGUGAAAGAAAUGCAUUUAAGGCUUAUGCUCAUUCCUGUUCCAAUACCAAAACAACUGGCUGCUUUUUAAUGCUCAGUCACAUGGUAUCACGGUGAGAACAUCUGGAGGCAGCAUGGCAUCUAUGUUCUUCUUCAUCCUGACACAGCUGUUUGUGAAACCUGGAGAAAGUUGGCCUCUUUACAGUUCUCACUUUCUUCAUGUCUACACAAAGGAGCUUGGUGUAGAAGAGUUGGGUUCCAGGUCUACAGUACACAGCACCAUUUCGUUCUGAUUAAUGUUUGAAUGAGUUGAUUCUUG